rnacentral:sRNA from 1 species
UUUUGAAUGAAUGAAUUAUGGAACAUUGUCUUCUAUUUUUUAUUGGCUCUGAUAAUGUAUAUGAUUUGCUUAGUCCUUGAUACUCUUACCUUUGGCACCUGAUACUAUGAUGAAUUUUAAGUCUAAACUGGAAGUCAGACUCAUAUCUGAAGGCUGAUUACUGGCCUGUGUUAAUUAAAGAGUCAUUAAGCAUUUAUCAAAAAAUGCUUUAUUUUUCUACCAUGACUAAUUCAGAUAUAGAAAAUAUUAAGUAUCAAAAAGGCAACUUUUUUUAGAGUCAGUGAUGAAUAAUAGGCUUAUUUUCUUCACCUCCAAGUAUGUACUAUUGAAUUGGCAAAUCCAUGUAACAUAAACCUAUUAUAUACUUUUCUCUGCAAGGCCUUAGAUUUUAGUGAUGAUGAAAAAGAGAAAGAAGCCAAACAGAGGAAAAAAUCCCAGAUUCAAGGCCGGAAAAAACUCAAAUCUGAAUUUAAUGAGCCAGGUGAAGAUUUUACUGAAGUACAUCAGAAUUGGAAUGCUCAUAGCUCUGCUUCAGAGCAUGCAAAAGGAUAUCGUAACAGAGAAUUCACACGAGGAUUUUCCAGGGCCAGAUACCCUCGAUCUUGCCAUGGCAGGCCUCCACCUCAGCAUUUCUAUAACUCAGAACAUAUGGUAUCUCAGGAGACUUCAGGAUUUCCUUCUCAGAGACAAGAAAAUCCCAUUAUGCCACA